rnacentral:rRNA from 1 species
AUGGAGUCGGGCAAGGAGGCCGCGGUGAACGCCGGCGCGUCGGCGCGCGCCGGCAUGGAGAAGACGAGGGCCGCCGUGCAGGGGCAGGUGGACAAGGCCGCGGCGUACACGACAGGGCACAGGGAGGCGGCGGUGGUGAACAAGGAGGCGGCCGAGGUGAAGAAGCAGCAGCGGAUUCACGCCGCCGAGGAGGAGAAGCAGCGCGCCGUGCGGGGCCACGCCGCCGCCAAGGAGUGCGCAGAGACGGAGGACCGCCACGGCGGCCACGGUGACGAAUGA